rnacentral:rRNA from 1 species
AGAGCCGACAGCAGAGCCGUAUAGGGGAGCAGUGGCCUGUACACGCGGAGCUACCGGGAGCCAGAAGCCGAAAGCAAGUGAGCUGAGCGACGAUGGUGGUGGUGGUGGCGACCUCGAGCCCCGGCGGGCCGGAGGCGCUGCAGGUGUGCGCGCUGCUUACCGGCGGCGGGUAUGCGGAGAAGGUGGUGGUUCCGGCAGGGCAGCUGCUCCCGGUGACGGAGGGGGCGUCGCUGACUGACAGCCCGAGGUGGCCUCCACCGUCUGGUCCACCAUUUUCAUGCCAGUCACCUCUCCCUCGGUGAAUCCUUCCUUAUCCUUUGGUGGAUCUAGUGGAGUCGGUACAUUGGCUAUACAGAAUUCAAAGCACCUUGGAAAUGUACACAUGAGACAUUAUUCUUUAUCGAAUUUCCGACAUCAGAGACACGUAUGCUGUUAAUCAGGUGCUGAAGAAAAAAUCAAUCCUCUCCACUUGAAGGUAGGUGAUGCACACAGAUUUCUUCUUACCUUGCAAGCACCGUUGGAUGAAGAGAGUAGGCAUGAUCAUGGACAAACGCAGUGAGUGCUCAACCCAUCUGUACAUACGCUGCACUUUAUGGCCCCGUGCCGCUGCCAUCCUUAUCAUGCCUCUCCUUGAUCUGGCUCCCCACAGUGCCGUCUUGCCUCGAUCUUGCAGGAGAGGAGGACAUUGUUUAUUUGCGUAGGGCUGUCGGGGGAUAAUUCGAUCGAGUAGGAGUUGUUACGUGGAAGAGGAGCUAGCAGCUGGGCGAUCGUUUGGCUAGGUGACGAGGAAGAAAUUGAUACGGCCGGCCGUUGUACGGGAGCACGGCCAGAGAUGGAGUUCGAUACGGUCUGCACCCAAAUCAGAAGGUUUGGCCACCCUUAACAAUAUCCUCAUCGGAUAUAACUUGGGGAAGGCGAAGGCGUACCCCCUACUAUAUAAGCUCCGCCACCCACGCCCCAAACAAAUCAUAACCAACCUUCCUCAAGUCGUUUGUUCCCCCGAGCAAUCGAGUUGUGUUCCCGGCGAUCGAUCGAUCCAUCUUGCUGAGCAUCAUGGUUUCCGCCGACGUGGCUCGCAACAUCGUCGGCAUCAUUGGCAAUGUCAUCUCCUUUGGGCUCUUCCUCUCCCCUGUGCCGACGUUCUGGCGUAUCUGCAAGGCCAAGGACGUGCAGGAGUUCAAGCCGGACCCCUACCUGGCGACGCUCAUGAACUGCCUGCUCUGGUUCUUCUACGGGCUCCCUAUCGUCCACCCCAACAGCACCCUCGUCCUCACCAUCAACGGCAUCGGCCUCGUCAUCGAGGGCGCCUACAUCAUCAUCUUCAUCAUCUACGCGGCCAAGAACACAAGGUGGAAGAUGCUCGGCGUGCUCGCCAUCCAGGCAGCGUUCAUGGCUGCCGUGGUGGCCGGUGUGCUCGUCGGCGCCCACACCCAUGAGAAGCGCUCCAUGAUCGUAGGCAUCCUCUGCGUCAUCUUCGGCUCCAUCAUGUACGCCUCCCCGCUCACCAUCAUGGGUAAAGUGAUCAGGACCAAGAGUGUGGAGUACAUGCCAUUCUUCCUGUCACUGGUAAACUUCCUCAACGGUCUCUGCUGGACGGGCUAUGCGCUAAUCAAGUUUGACAUCUACAUCACGAUCCCCAAUGCCCUCGGUACAAUCUUCGGCCUCAUCCAGCUGAUCCUUUACGGGUACUACUACAGAUCUACCCCCAAGAAGGGCAAGAAUGUCGAGCUGCCCACCGUCCUCACCAAAAACGCCGUUACCAGCGGCAACGUCUCCGUCACCAUAGAGAAAUAAGCUUUGCUUCCUUUUUAGCCCUAAAGAUUUUGAGUAGUUAAUACCGGAUGAUACUUCAAC